GGAAGCAUGAAAUCCUGAUUCAUCAAAACUAAAUGAGCUGAUCCCAUCCGUCUCAUAGAUCUAAGGCAGAACUGACGGAAGUGCAAAGUGGAGAAAUGACACGCAGAAGAGGACAGAGAGGCCAGAGAGAGAGUAUAAGGGGUAUUGAUUGACUGCAUUCACCUCCAUCUCACUGUUGUCCACUUCCUUUUUGUUCGGUCCUAGUGAUCAUCCUUUCCCUCUCUCUCUCUUUCGCUGUGGACAUGUUUUGCUCAUUUAACUUCAUUACAGUGGCUGACAGCCAGAAAGUCAACAAAACAGUGCACAGCCUGGUAUGAUCACCUGCAGACCCCCGUCCCUCCCCCAACGGGCCCAUCUCGGCCCCUCCUGGGUUAUUCAGGCCCGUUUCCCUGCAGUCCAUUGCUCAAUUGCAUUGAUAACAAUCUGACAGGUCGCAGCAGAAGCCAGGAUACAUUGUCCCUCCUUCUCGCCGGCAAACCCGUUCAGCAAGGUCACCAAUCCCCAACUGACAGCCCAACUGCCAGCUACAAACUGCUUCCAAAUGAAAGAAUUUCUCUGAAGUGUCGAGCAUGCCUGUCUGCCAGCCUCUUUCUGAAAGGAGGAGAGGAAGCAGGCCACCACUGAGAAAAAGUCCAGGCAUUCUUCCAGCAGAAUUCAAAAUCAACAAAGCAACAUUUCAACCCCCAUAAAGAACCUCCGUGAGUCAACAUUUGCACAAAGCUGAAUGUCCGAUCCAUACUUACCCACGGGACUGGGGUGAAUGUCAACGUUAUGGUUAUGAGUUAUUUAUAAGAUCCCAUAAUACCUUGUUCAUUAUACAUGAAGUCGUCAAUCUGGAAUGAGGAAUUGAAAAACUGCAGUUCCAUAUUAAGGCCCUGACAUAAACCAUACGUUGAAUGUUUUACCCCUCAGCAGGUUUACAAAUAGAUGGACUAGGGCAUGCUGGGAUUGAGGACUGCAUUUUUCGAAGGUAAUUUAAGUCGUUUUUGUUUAGCUGUAUUAAAAAUGCAUGAAAAGCUCAAGGAGCGGCUUUAAGGCUUGUUUCGUUGCUGAGAAGUUGCAGUUUUUAAAUUUAGAGAUGCUGUUACUGCUGGUCUCACUUUUAGACCAACUCAUAGCUGUCUGUCCUGACAUCAAAUAUUUAUUCUAUAUUUGCUUUUAGGGGUCACAAGGGAAGCAAAAUGUCAUAUUUAAGAACAUUGUUUUGUAACAGUCUAACUCUAACAGCUAUCCCUAUGCGGAGCACCUAAUUGUAUGUAUCUGGCAGUUAACUAGUAUUAAAGCAGUUGGUUUUGCUUCAGACUUUAA